AGUACUCCUUAGACUUACAGUGUGUCGCACGCACCAACCAAGAUUCUAAUGGAGGUUUUGACCAAGGAGUCAGGUGUGUCCUUCCACUAUGUGGGAUCCGGGAUCCAGGGAUAAAAAUCAGGUCUAGCACAACUUCUGGGAGUCAGUUGGUUCUCUCCUUCCAUGGUAGGUAUUCCAGGGACCAAACUCAGGUAGGCAGGAGGGAUGGCAAGUACCUUAACCUUCUAGGCCAUUCCUCUUACCCUGCCCAUCCCCCCUACACAUACACACCUUGUCUGAGACUAGAUUGCUUGCUGACCUGGAGCACACUUACUUGGCUGGACUGACACCGUCCAGCAAACACAGGCAUCCUCUUGUCUCCACCUCCCUGGUACCAGAAUUACAAAUCUGCACCUCCACAUCCGGCUUUUUAUGUGGGACCUCUGAACUCAGGUCCUGCAUGGCAAAGCACUUUACUGUCUCACAGUAUUAAAAACAAACAAACAAAUAGACAAAAAAAAAAAA
rnacentral:lncRNA from 1 species